rnacentral:rRNA from 1 species
GUCGUCUUUUAGGUGACCUAUAGAAUACUCAAGCUAUGCAUCCAACGCGUUGGGAGCUCUCCCAUAUGGUCGACCUGCAGGCGGCCGCGAAUUCACUAGUGAUUUCCGGUUGAUCCUGCCGGAGGCCACUGCUAUGGGGGUCCGACUAAGCCAUGCGAGUCAUGGGGCGCCUUGCGCGCACCGGCGGACGGCUCAGUAACACGUCGGUAACCUACCCUCGGGAGGGGGAUAACCCCGGGAAACUGGGGCUAAUCCCCCAUAGGCCUGAGGUACUGGAAGGUCCUCAGGCCGAAAGGGUCUUUGACCGCCCGAGGAUGGGCCGGCGGCCGAUUAGGUAGUUGGUGGGGUAACGGCCCACCAAGCCGAAGAUCGGUACGGGCCAUGAGAGUGGGAGCCCGGAGAUGGACACUGAGACACGGGUCCAGGCCCUACGGGGCGCAGCAGGCGCGAAACCUCCGCAAUGCGGGCAACCGCGACGGGGGGACCCCCAGUGCCGUGGCAUCGCCACGGCUUUUCCGGAGUGUAAAGAGCUCCGGGAAUAAGGGCUGGGCAAGGCCGGUGGCAGCCGCCGCGGUAAUACCGGCGGCCCGAGUGGUGGCCGCUAUUAUUGGGCCUAAAGCGUCCGUAGCCGGGCCCGCAAGUCCCUGGCGAAAUCCCACGGCUCAACCGUGGGGCUUGCUGGGGAUACUGCGGGCCUUGGGACCGGGAGAGGCGGAGGGUACUUCUGGGGUAGGGGUGAAAUCCUAUAAUCCCAGGAGGACCGCCAGUGGCGAAGGCGCUCCGCUGGAACGGGUCCGACGGUGAGGGACGAAGGCCAGGGGAGCGAACCGGAUUAGAUACUCGGGUAGUCCUGGCUGUAAAGGAUGCGGGCUAGGUGUCGGGCGAGCUUCGUGCUCGCUCGGUGUCGAAGGGAAGCCUGUUAAGUCUGUCGCCUGGGGAGUACGGUCUGCAAGGCUGAAACUUAAAGGAAUUGGCGGGGGAGCACUACAAGGGGUGGAGCGUGCGGGUUUAAUUGGAUUCAACGUCGGGAAUCUCAUCUGGGGGCGACGGCAGGAUGAAGUCAGCUGAUGUCUUGCUGGACUACUGCUGGAGAGUGCAUGUCGUUCGUCAGCUUGUACCGGUGAAGGCGAUCCACUUAAGGUGUGUAACGGAGGCCGUGAGUAU